GCUUGUCUCAAAGAUUAAGCCAUGCAUGUCUAAGUAUGAACAAAUCUAUACGUGAAACUGCGAAUGGCUCAUUAUAUCAGUUAUAGUUUAUUUGAUGGUUCAUACUACUUGGAUAACCGUAGUAAUUCUAGAGCUAAUACAUGCGUCAAAACCCGACUCCUGGGAGGGUUGAAUUUUUAAAAGAUGGAAACCAAUGCGGGGUUGUAUUUAUUAGAUGGUUGUAUUUAUUAGAUGCAUCAUUCAAGUUUCUGCCCUAUCAGCUUUGGAUGGUAGGGCAUUGGCCUACCAUGGCUUUAACGGGUAACGAAGAAUCAGGGUUCGAUUCCGGAGAGGGAGCCUGAGAAAUGGCUACCACAUCCAAGGAAGGCAGCAGG
rnacentral:rRNA from 1 species